AAUUUUGUUUUUGAAUAAAAAUAUUAACAAGUCAUCAUGAAGAUAUUUAAAGUAAACACAACAAUCUUUAGUGGAAGCAGUUGUUUAUUAUUUAAAAAACAUAACAUUUGGGAUUAAAAUCCGGCGAGAAAUUUCAUUGGAGUUUACAGAACAUCAGGCGAGAAUUAUUUUUUUCUUAAUCAGUAAUAAACUAGAUAAAUCGGGCGAGAGUCAUGACAAUGAGGAUAAGUAUUGAAAAAUCGUCUUGGGUGAUUCCUUUUAUUAUGACCAGACGGUUAAAAAAACUGAGUGACUUAUGAGAUAACACCCCGACAGAUUUCCGUCGUGAAAUCAUUGACGUUGUAUUAAAUUAAUGUUUAUGUACGCAUGUAUUAAUAUUAUUCGAAUUGAGAUAUAAUACGUAUUCUAAACUGAUAUGCGAAUAAAAAUGUUGCGUGACCAAUAAAAGAUUAAAAACUCUG